rnacentral:lncRNA from 1 species
UUGGACUCAUUAUCAUCCAACUUAAUGGGAGUCUAUGAUCUAGUUAUCACCAUAACUAUUUCAUUUUUAGGGACCUAAUAAUUUUAGAUGAUUUAAUUAGUUAAAUUGAGAGAUAAGAAAAGACUUAACCUGUUAAUCUUAAUCAUCCCACUAACUUCACCAAGUCAGAUUAAAGAAGAUUAGAUAAAAGCUGGUCCAGCCAACCAGUCAUAAAUCCUUCCACUGACUUCACC